rnacentral:rRNA from 1 species
UACGUAGGGUGCAAGCGUUGUCCGGAAUUAUUGGGCGUAAAGGGCGCGUAGGCGGUCCUUCAAGUCAGGCGUGAAAGCCCCGGGCUCAACCUGGGAACCGCGCUUGAGACUGGCGGGCUAGAGUUCGGGAGAGGAUGGUGGAAUUCCCAGUGUAGAGGUGAAAUUCGUAGAUAUUUGGGAAGAACACCGAUGGCGAAGGCAGCCAUCUGGACCGACACUGACGCUGAGGCGCGAAAGCGUGGGGAGCAAACAGG